UACGUAGGGUGCAAGCGUUGUCCGGAAUUAUUGGGCGAAAGAGCUCGUAGGCGGUCUGUCACGUCGGCUGUGAAAACCCGAGGCUCAACCUCGGGCCUGCAGUCGAUACGGGCAAACUAGAGUACUGCAGGGGAGACUGGAAUUCCUGGUGUAGCGGUGAAAUGCGCAGAUAUCAGGAGGAACACCGGUGGCGAAGGCGGGUCUCUGGGCAGUAACUGACGCUGAGGAGCGAAAGCGUGGGGAGCGAACAGG
rnacentral:rRNA from 1 species